GGGGGGGUAGCUCAGUUGGUAGAGCACAUGCUUUGCAAGCAUAAGGUCGUGGGUUCGAGGCCCAUCCUCUCCACCA
rnacentral:tRNA from 3 species